rnacentral:rRNA from 1 species
UACGUAGGGGGCAAGCGUUGUCCGGAAUUAUUGGGCGUAAAGAGCGUGUAGGCGGUCCGGUAAGUUAGCUGUGAAAGUCAAGGGCUCAACCCUUGAAUGCCGGUUGAUACUGUCGGGCUAGAGUCCGGAAGAGGCGAGUGGAAUUCCCGGUGUAGCGGUGAAAUGCGCAGAUAUCGGGAGGAACACCAAUGGCGAAGGCAGCUCGCUGGGACGUUACUGACGCUGAGACGCGAAAGCGUGGGGAGCAAACAGG